rnacentral:rRNA from 1 species
CGAUGCAACGCGAAGACCUUACCAAGGCUUGACAUACACCGGUAACGCCCAGAGAUGGGUGCCCCUUUGUGGUCGGUGGACAGGUGGUGCAUGGUUGUCGUCAGCUCGUGUCGUGAGAUGUUGGGUUAAGUCCCGCAGCGAGCGCAACCCUCGUCCUAUGUUGCCAGCGGGUCAUGCCGGGGACUCAUGGGAGACUGCCGGGGUCAACUCGGAGGAAGGUGGGGAUGACGUCAAAUCAUCAUGCCCCUUAUGUCUUGGGCUUCACGCAUGCUACAAUGGCCGGUACAAAGGGCUGCGAUACCGCGAGGUGGAGCGAAUCCCAGAAAGCCGGUCUCAGUUCGGAUUGGGGUCUGCAACUCGACCCCAUGAAGUCGGAGUCGCUAGUAAUCGCAGAUCAGCAACGCUGCGGUGAAUACGUUCCCGGGCCUU